GAUGAACGCUGGCGGCGUGCUUAACACAUGCAAGUCGAACGAUGAAGCUGGAGCUUGCUCUGGUGGAUUAGUGGCGAACGGGUGAGUAACACGUGAGCAACCUGCCCCUGACUCUGGGAUAACAGCCGGAAACGGCUGCUAAUACCGGAUAUGCACCAUGAACGCAUGUACUGUGGCGGGAAAGAUUUUUCGGUUGGGGAUGGGCUCGCGGCCUAUCAGCUUGUUGGUGAGGUAAUGGCUCACCAAGGCGUCGACGGGUAGCCGGCCUGAGAGGGUGACCGGCCACACUGGGACUGAGACACGGCCCAGACUCCUACGGGAGGCAGCAGUGGGGAAUAUUGCCCAAUGGGCGAAAGCCUGAUGCAGCAACGCCGCGUGAGGGAUGACGGCCUUCGGGUUGUAAACCUCUUUUAGCAGGGAAGAAGCGGGAGUGACGGUACCUGCAGAAAAAGCGCCGGCUAGCUACGUG
rnacentral:rRNA from 1 species